rnacentral:rRNA from 1 species
AUUGAACGCUGGCGGCAGGCCUAACACAUGCAAGUCGAACGGUAACAGGAAGCAGCUUGCUGCUUCGCUGACGAGUGGCGGACGGGUGAGUAAUGUCUGGGAAGCUGCCCGAUGGAGGGGGAUAACUACUGGAAACGGUAGCUAAUACCGCAUAAUGUCGCAAGACCAAAGAGGGGGACCUUCGGGCCUCUUGCCAUCGGAUGUGCCCAGAUGGGAUUAGCUUGUGGGUGGGGUAACGGCUCACCAAGGCGACGAUCCCUAGCUGGUCUGAGAGGAUGACCAGCCACACUGGAACUGAGACACGGUCCAGACUCCUACGGGAGGCAGCAGUGGGGAAUAUUGCACAAUGGGCGCAAGCCUGAUGCAGCCAUGCCGCGUGUAUGAAGAAGGCCUUCGGGUUGUAAAGUACUUUCAGCGGGGAGGAAGGGAGUAAAGUUAAUACCUUUGCUCAUUGACGUUACCCGCAGAAGAAGCAACGGCUAACUCCGUG